AUUUAUUCAUCAUUUUCCAACAUAAAGGUAUGGACCAACCAUGACCAUAUAUAAAUAUACCAAGUGCAACCACCUUCAUUCUGCAUUUUUACCACUUAUAAACAACAUUUAAUAAAUUCAAAAAUUUCUUCAAACAUGAUGAGUCUCUUACAUUUCUUCUUGUUCUUAUUCCUCUUUACCUCUCCAGGAGUUCAGGCCAUCCAGCUGCAGCCACCACGAUAUUCCGGUCCAUCACCGAGAAAAGAGCAAGUCAUCUUUCAACCUCUUCCAAGUUCUUGGGUUGGUCCAGAUGUCAAAUUCGAGAAUAGGAGAGUUCCCACUGGAUCUAAUCCUCUGCAUAACAAGAAGAGAAAGGACUAGAAUUAUGGUUUACACGUCUGCACUUAGUGUUUGUUAUUUGGUAGGUAGUCAGCUCUCAGUUAACUAAGUUUCAUUCAUUAUCACUAUUGGUGAUUCAAAAUUUAUUUCAAUUAACUGGAAUAAAUUUUCAAUCACCAUUAGAAACUUUGUAACAAAACAUACAAAGUUUAUUGUAGUGCAGUUGUAUUUUAAUUAUAGCAUCUCUUUCGAUUUUUAGUGUUACUCUGUUAAUCUUCAGUUCUUUUGUAAUAUUUGCCUAUAUUUAGCUAGUUGGUUUGUGGACUUUGUUAAGGGUAGGAAUGUGUGAUGUUUGUCAGCAGUAGUUUGAAAAAUAGUCUGAUUUCAU
rnacentral:lncRNA from 1 species